rnacentral:rRNA from 1 species
AGCAAGCCACUGGGACAGCGCAACAAGGGGCUUUCCACGUAUUAAAAGGAAUUGUUGGCAAUCUUGUUAGCUGUUGAACAAUGGCGGCAAUAUCUGCAAUCUGCUGAGUUCGUGAUCAAGACCGCCUAGUGCAGCCUAGUUCACCUUGAGGACCAGCGUUUGCACAGCCCGUGGCAACAGAAAGCGUUCACUAAGCUCUUGGGACUGUGCUAUCGAAAAGGGUCUCCCAAUGGUGUGGCGGAUGCCCUCUCCCGAUGCCCAAUCUGCGUCACUGAUUAG